rnacentral:rRNA from 1 species
GACGAACGCUGGCGGCGUGCUUAACACAUGCGAGUCGAACGGUGAAGCGCCUUCCUUUUUGGUGGGUGUGGAUGAGUGGCGAACGGGUGAGUAACACGUGAGUAACCUGCCCCCUUCUUCUGGAUAACCGCAUGAAAGUGUGGCUAAUACGGGAUAUUCUGGGUCUGUCGCAUGAUGGGUCUGGGAAAGAUAUUGUUUCGGUGGGGGAUGGGCUCGCGGCCUAUCAGCUUGUUGGUGGGGUGAUGGCCUACCAAGGCGGUGACGGGUAGCCGGCCUGAGAGGGUGGGCGGUCACACUGGGACUGAGACACGGCCCAGACUCCUACGGGAGGCAGCAGUGGGGAAUAUUGCACAAUGGGCGCAAGCCUGAUGCAGCGACGCCGCGUGAGGGAUGGAGGCCUUCGGGUUGUGAACCUCUUUCGCCAGUGAAGCAGGCCUGCCUCGUUUGUGGGUGGGUUGACGGUAGCUGGAUAAGAAGCGCCGGCUAACUACGUG